rnacentral:rRNA from 1 species
AAAUUGAAGAGUUUGAUCAUGGCUCAGAUUGAACGCUGGCGGUAGGCCUAACACAUGCAAGUCGAACGGUAACAGGAAACAGCUUGCUGUUU